rnacentral:tRNA from 1 species
GGUUCCAUAGUGUAGUGGUUAUCAUGUCUGCUUUACAUGCAGAAGGUCCUGGGUUUGAGCCCCAUUGGAACCA